rnacentral:rRNA from 1 species
UACGUAGGGCGCAAGCGUUAUCUGGAAUUAUUGGGCGUAAAGAGCUCGUAGGCGGUUUGUCGCGUCUGCCGUGAAAGUCCGGGGCUCAACUCCGGAUCUGCGGUGGGUACGGGCAGACUAGAGUGAUGUAGGGGAGACUGGAAUUCCUGGUGUAGCGGUGAAAUGCGCAGAUAUCAGGAGGAACACCGAUGGCGAAGGCAGGUCUCCGGGCAUUAACUGACGCUGAGGAGCGAAAGCAUGGGGAGCGAACAGG